CUGCCCAAUUAUUUUCCAGAAUAUGUGGUUAGAAGUACAGACGUACUACAUGAGAGACAAUAAAAUGUUCAUGUUCAUGGGAGGGUGAAUUUAGGCGGAGGGCAGUUCAGCCUGCAGUCCACAUCAGUUGCGUAGCAAACUCCCUUAUUGUUGCCAUACAAGCAGCAGUAACACAGGUUGCAUGGCCGCAUCAACUGCCUCUCGCAUGAGAAUAUGUCCGGUCCAUGCCCUUUUUCUUCACCUGCAAAAUAGUUCCAAGAUUAAGAACCUCAGCAUACAAGGUGCCGAUGUAGAUGAUCUACUCCCUUCGUCCCAAAAAUUUAGUCUUAGGUUUAUAUAGAAAUGAAUGUAUCAAAAUACUAAAAUGUGACUAGAUAUAUCCAUAUCUAAACAAAUUUAAGAUAAGAAUUUUGAAAUGGAGGAAGUAUCUGGCUAGAAGCUUAGCAGGUAAGUCUACAACCAAAUCAACCACGAUGAUUCAUAAGAGAGGAAAUGCACGGUGCCCCUGAAAAACUCCACUGCGCGGGACGGCACAUAUUUAACUUUCUCUGAGCCCGAGACGCAAAGCAUCCGAGAAGAACCAGGAAAAGCACCAGGAAUUGAAAGGCCUGCUUCAUGUAGUAGUUCGCCAUUCCUGAGCGCGCAGGUGGUUCAAGUUCGUCAAGUACGAUGAGAGUGCGUACUACUCAGAGGAGGAUGAUUUGGGCCACGGUUGAUGUCGAUGCAUAUAUAUAGGAAGACAUGUGCUAUGUUUGUUACUAGUACCAAUCUUAUCUGAUUCACCGGGGGCGGGUUUCCUUCCCAAGAAUUUAUUUCCUGUUAAUUUGAUGUAAUGUAAUGCCUCCGAAUGAGUAAUAAAUACAUUUAUUGCCUUCCCAGUAAUGUCUUACUGCAGCAUUUGGUAGAUUGUGUGCGGGACUGCAAAAUUUAUCUACACGGGGUAAACUUGAUAUGUGUAACACUUCG
rnacentral:lncRNA from 1 species